rnacentral:lncRNA from 1 species
GUCCCAAGCAGGAGAUGAUCUAUGACUUUCUGGAGGAUGGUGUGGCAGGGAGAAUUGUUUCAGUAUCGUCAUGAUCACUAAACUGGUGGAGGUGGGCAGGAUGAAGUGCUGUAAGUAUUGGCCCGAGGACAGUGAACUCUAUGGAGACAUCAAGAUCACAACUGCUGAAGACAGAAACACUGGCUGAGUACACCGUCCGCACCUUGCUAUGGAGCGGGUGAGCGAAUAGUCAAAGUCCUUCUGUCUAACAAUUAUACAUAAUUUGAAAAUGUAUUGGUUCCUGGGAUCACAUCCAAUUUGAGAGUGUUUUGUUUACUCCAUUUGUUCAGCCAGGCAGUUUAUUGAGAACACAGCCUUUAUAGAGGCAUUGAAUAUCUAACAAACAAUGAAUCAUUUUAAUGUUAAUUGGUCCUUGGAGUUAUUCCUCAUGUUUAGAUAAAGAUGUCUUAUUAAAUGUCCUAACUGUGGCCAACUUUGUGUCUGUUUGUUGAUCAUGAAUAUUGAUUAAGACCCUCUGUAUUCUCCCCUCCAGAGGGGCUACCCAGCCAAACAUGAGGUGUGUCAGUUCCACUUCACCUCCUGGCCAGAGCAUGGUGUUCCCUACCACGCCACAGGUCUGCUGGCCUUACCUACAGCCGGGUCAAGGGCCUCCACACCCCCCGAUGCUGGGCCCGUGGUUGUCCACUGCAGUAUGGGAGCAGGCAGAACAGGCUGCUACAUCGUACUGGAUGUCAUGCUGGAUAUGGCAGAGUGUGAGGGAGUGGUGGAUAUCUACAAACUGUGUCAAGACCCUCUGCUCCAGAACGCAUCAACAUGAUACAGACAGAGGAAGCAGUAUGUGUUCAUCCACGAUGCCAUUCUGGAGGCCUGUCUGUGUGGAGAGAACAGCUA